rnacentral:rRNA from 2 species
CGUCUAUACAUGCAAGUCGAACGAACUCUGGUAUUGAUUGGUGCUUGCAUCAUGAUUUACAUUUGAGUGAGUGGCGAACUGGUGAGUAACACGUGGGAAACCUGCCCAGAAGCGGGGGAUAACACCUGGAAACAGAUGCUAAUACCGCAUAACAACUUGGACCGCAUGGUCCGAGUUUGAAAGAUGGCUUCGGCUAUCACUUUUGGAUGGUCCCGCGGCGUAUUAGCUAGAUGGUGGGGUAACGGCUCACCAUGGCAAUGAUACGUAGCCGACCUGAGAGGGUAAUCGGCCACAUUGGGACUGAGACACGGCCCAAACUCCUACGGGAGGCAGCAGUAGGGAAUCUUCCACAAUGGACGAAAGUCUGAUGGAGCAACGCCGCGUGAGUGAAGAAGGGUUUCGGCUCGUAAAACUCUGUUGUUAAAGAAGAACAUAUCUGAGAGUAACUGUUCAGGUAUUGACGGUAUUUAACCAGAAAGCCACGGCUAACUACGUGCCAGCAGCCGCGGUAAUACGUAGGUGGCAAGCGUUGUCCGGAUUUAUUGGGCGUAAAGCGAGCGCAGGCGGUUUUUUAAGUCUGAUGUGAAAGCCUUCGGCUCAACCGAAGAAGUGCAUCGGAAACUGGGAAACUUGAGUGCAGAAGAGGACAGUGGAACUCCAUGUGUAGCGGUGAAAUGCGUAGAUAUAUGGAAGAACACCAGUGGCGAAGGCGGCUGUCUGGUCUGUAACUGACGCUGAGGCUCGAAAGUAUGGGUAGCAAACAGGAUUAGAUACCCUGGUAGUCCAUACCGUAAACGAUGAAUGCUAAGUGUUGGAGGGUUUCCGCCCUUCAGUGCUGCAGCUAACGCAUUAAGCAUUCCGCCUGGGGAGUACGGCCGCAAGGCUGAAACUCAAAGGAAUUGACGGGGGCCCGCACAAGCGGUGGAGCAUGUGGUUUAAUUCGAAGCUACGCGAAGAACCUUACCAGGUCUUGACAUACUAUGCAAAUCUAAGAGAUUAGACGUUCCCUUCGGGGACAUGGAUACAGGUGGUGCAUGGUUGUCGUCAGCUCGUGUCGUGAGAUGUUGGGUUAAGUCCCGCAACGAGCGCAACCCUUAUUAUCAGUUGCCAGCAUUAAGUUGGGCACUCUGGUGAGACUGCCGGUGACAAACCGGAGGAAGGUGGGGAUGACGUCAAAUCAUCAUGCCCCUUAUGACCUGGGCUACACACGUGCUACAAUGGAUGGUACAACGAGUUGCGAACUCGCGAGAGUAAGCUAAUCUCUUAAAGCCAUUCUCAGUUCGGAUUGUAGGCUGCAACUCGCCUACAUGAAGUCGGAAUCGCUAGUAAUCGCGGAUCAGCAUGCCGCGGUGAAUACGUUCCCGGGCCUUGUACACACCGCCCGUCACACCAUGAGAGUUUGUAACACCCAAAGUCGGUGGGGUAACCUUUUAGGAACCAGCCGCCUAAG